rnacentral:rRNA from 1 species
UCUUUUUGGGAUCGGGUAAGGGCAGGCGUAGGGACGACGGCGGCGGCGGGAGGGUCAAGGGAGACGAGGACGACGAAGGGAGGUGGAGAGGGAGGAGGUACGGCAGUCCCCGCGGGGAGUUCGGGGUGGAGUAGCCAAGGAGUGGGGCCAGAGGAAGAGGGGGCGGGUACGACGAGAGACACGCGCCACUGGCCUGUCUCCUCCUUCUAGUCCUCCCGGCGUCCCUACUUCCUCCUCCAUCUCGGCGAGUGCAGCGGCGGCGGCAGAAGGAGCGGGAGUGGUACGCCCGGCGUCGCGAGGUGGAGGAACCGUAGAGGCAGACCAGAUGUCUACUACUCUUUAUUCCCUGCCUUCGUUCUACACUCCUACACCUCUGCGAUACAACGGAGGUAGGGACCGGAAGAAGAACCGCACAUGAGCAACCAGUACGAGGCGAAGGAGGUGAGGGUGGAGAGCCGGAGCUGUGGAGACGCAUAAAGAGGUAGUGAGAGAACGUCCAUGAGUGAGAUGAGGAGGAGACGAAAGUCAAUCAGACGUUAAAAAAGUAGGAACGAAUACAUCCAAUAACAACUUUAGGUUGUUCCGGUGACACCUUGAGUCACUAAACAAAGAGUUUAUGCAGACACAACACACUAAACGAUACGUUCGAUAUAUACCUAUUUAACGUCCCCUUUAUAUUAACACGACCUAACAAGCUCUGUAGGUAGUGUAUUAAAAGAGUCUAAAUCUUGAGUACGUCUACAACAAUAGAAAAGUCCAUACACGACUCUUAGGAUCCACGCCGCUGGAGUUGUUACAGGGUAGCAACGGCCGCCAGAGGAUAUACGAGGACGCCUUAUUCAAGAAGGACUGGUGGAGCUGUGAGUGGCGGCGGCUCCUUAGGUCCCUGUUCUGAUGGUGGUUCAACGAGUAGGCGGAAGUCCACGUCUGCCACCCGAGACGCACCAGCUUGGAUUCAAUCAAGGAAAGUUCCCGAUUAUGGUUACUCCACAUGGUCCACGCGACCGAGUACGGUGGCGUAGGUGGCUGUCGUUCCACCUCUUACUCCGCGAGUUCCUCUCCCUCUGGUCCUACCACGAACACAGAUAUGCCACUGUCGCACCUGGAGAAGAAGCGUCUCUCCUGCUUCAACGUACAGGGUUUAGCAAUCCCCGAUCCGACAAAGGCGCAGCUCCUCAAGUAAAACCGUCUGCCUUGAAAACUUUCGAUCUUAUAAAACCACUUUACACUUCCCGACGAAGUCAAAUGGGUAUCACAAUAAAGAUCUACUUGUUCCUCACCACUGUAACACUCUACCACUUCGGUCUCGUAACAGCUACUUUGAUCGGCUCCUCCUUAACACUCAAGUGGAGGGAGAGGAAACGUAGCCAACAUAAAAGAGAGGAGAAACACGGGUAUAUACAAUACAAAGGGGCCCAGCCACACUUCACUCGUGCGUCAAACAGUAGCAAGCAGUUAGCAGACAGGACAAGCAGAAGUGAAGCAAGCUACACGGAAAGGCAACGCCUCCACACAAAACAACAAAAUAGAACAACGUGAACAAUUAUACUUUAGUGCAGAAUUUCCUAAGUCUUCCAAUAUGAAGUCAAAUCAAUAACACAAGAAUUCUAAAGAUAUGCUUGAAAUGAGGAAAGAUGUUCUGAUCGGUAGUUUAGUACUAUUGACUUGGUAACUUUUUGAUAUCUUCCUAAUCACCGUUAUUUUGGAAUCCAAUCAAGAUGGGAAAUAAAACAAUAUUAAGGAGACAAGACCAUUACUUUUUCUACUGGUGUGUCUAAUUUCCAAAUCUUUGAUAUUUUCCUAGACUUGUACUUCGAAUUAGACGACUUAAAAGUGAAGUCAUCAGGGAGCCGAAGCUCUCAUAUGCGUUAUAAACUAACAACGAAGAGUUACUACGAUGGUUUUUAACCUGUGGGACCGCAGCCUCUCUGCCUGGUCCUCCGGCUCGUCAGGCACCACAGCGGCGGCAGCAGGAGUAGGGAGCACGCACCACUGCCUCUCUCCGCUAGGCAGACCUCGAGCUCAUAUCAACUGGCGCAGAGAAAAGAAAGAGAAGAAAGCGUGCAGAGAAAAAGACAUCGACAAACUUCCGAAUACUACGUACCAGUGACUGACAUAACCUCUACAUUGUACCAAACAAUCCAAGUCGGUAACACGUUAGACGUGAUUGUCCGUACACGGGUCGAUUCUCGUUAGACAUCCUAUAUUAGAUCCUAAACGACGUUAAUAGACGAAGUUAAAUAUCCAUAUUCAUGAAGUUUAAGGAAGUUACCAACCCUCUGUAUACUUAAACUAAUGUGAUGAUAAAGUUAAUGACCUACCAAUAAACGUCACAAUAAAUACUGGUAAUGACAUGAAUUAUACCAUAGUUCCAAUGUCGGCUUACAUAGAACAUGGUAUGGUGGGUACCUAGAUUCAUGUUUAUUAUUACUCGUUACUAAAGAGUCCGAUUUUUUUAAGACGAUAGAGUGAGUUCUCGUUAUUAUAUGGGUGACUUCUGACUGUCUUUUGACAUUGGAAUGAAACUCAUCACGUAGAGUGUUAUUGUCAACAGGAGAGAAAAAUGUACAAAAUUUUUAGACGUAUAAAAGAACAUUACUAAAGCCAUUGUUUUAACUUACCGCGCCACAUACGAGUGUAUAGGGGCGAGAAUGUUCGAUGGUAUUCCGUACAAAGUCUGACAAUCACAUAUGAUAUAACGAAUGAGACUGUAACCUAAAACACAAUUGACGAUAUAAUAUAUAAAAACAAAGAAGAGUCCUCGGCGGAGGAGAAAAUGACUAUUUUUGACCAGCCUCCCCUAGACGAAAAAGGGGACUAGAAGAUGCGCUAACCCUCGGACUCGGUACCGACUGGGUAAGUGACGACACGGAUGGAGGAACGGCCUAAACCACUACUACGGUUUCCUUUGUUACCCAACAACCCUAUGGGCCUUAAUAGAAGAUAGUCGUGAACGUAAGUUUUGGGUUUGACUGGAAAUUAAAUUACCUUGUAUGCAUGUAAGUGACUAAACAUAUGAAUAAUCCAACGGGUCUUCUUGUAUCUACAACCAAAGUAUUAUACAUAAAUACCUAACAUUGGAUGCAAAUAGUUAUGCAGGUAAUAUACGUAUGCCGUUAAAAAUAAUUCCACUAGACCACGAGAAGAAAAAGAAAGCUGAAUGCGCACCACCAAUAUUCGGUUCCUUAUCACCUUCACGUAGUGUUAAGAGAGAACAUACUAGUUGGUACAUGUAAUGAACUAUAGUAGAUUACGUGCACCGAGUAAUAGCACGUUUACCGAGGUCGUUUUGGAUUAUUUUUACGAUUAGUACGAGUUCCACGUACAAAAGGUUGUUCAUCUGAUUUGUACAACCGUUCAUCUAUGCGAUUUUUUUCGUACAGCUGUUCAUCUCUUUUUCCUGAUCCUCCCUGCUAAUUCAAGUUGUUAUGAACUGUAUACGAGUAAACAAAAAGAUUAUACCACGAUACCACCGCAAGUAAACAGACAACAUGGUAAACCAGCACAGCGACAUACUACCGCAAGUUAACAGACUUAAACCUAGCGCCACGUCCAGAGCCGUCGUGGGUUUAUAAGUGUGUAUAACCACUAUCAGACUAUCCGGAAAACCCUAAACGUCACAUACACCUAGAACCGUCUCGUCUCAGUGAAUUGGGACACUCAGGUAAUAUAGUACGUACAUCACUUACGCACGUAGGUCAGUCACUUAUUACCAACAUUGCUAUUCAAACACAUAAACAAAAUAACUAGUUACACACGCGGCGUGCGACUCAUUGGAUUGAAGACUUUCAAUACCGACAUCAAUGUUCAUACGUGAUCGUAUAACCAAACAAAAGGCUAAGACCACCCUAAUACAGAAGUAACAUAAAGGGUUGUAAAUAUUGACCAAUGAGAAUUAACCAAUUAACGAAACGUUUUAAAAGACACUACUUGAUGCUACUACUUUCAACAUGACCCAUUCAAUCAAAAGGACUCUUGAAUGGUACCCAGUUUGAUCAUAAUUCAAUUAGUUCAACAAACUUUACUAUAAUCGUCUGUACUGAACGAAGUACAACCAAAACUUAAGAUGAGUAACAGUCAAGAGAAAAUCAGCAAAGUUGCUCACGGAUGUUCCAUAGACGC